rnacentral:rRNA from 1 species
AAGAGUUUGAUCCUGGCUCAGGACGAACGCUGGCGGCGUGCCUAACACAUGCAAGUCGAACGGAGAAUUUCAAAGAGUUUACUCGGAGAAAUUUUUAGUGGCGGCGUGGGUAACCUACCCAUAAACCCGGGACAACCCUUGGAAACGAGGGCUAAUACCGGAUAAUCUUAAGGCUUGGCAUCAAGCUUUAAGAAAAGGUGGCCUCUGAAGAUGCUACCGAUUAUGGAUGGACCCGCGUCUGAUUAGCUAGUUGGUGGGGUAAAGGCCUACCAAGGCGACGAUCAGUAGCCGGCCUGAGAGGGUGAACGGCCACACUGGAACUGAGACACGGUCCAGACUCCUACGGGAGGCAGCAGUGGGGAAUUUUGGACAAUGGGCGCAAGCCUGAUCCAGCAAUGCCGCGUGCAGGAUCCUGUGAUAUUGGACGAACAAUUUCCCGUAAAUAAUGGGAAGGAAUGACGGUACAAUAAGAGGAAGCCCCGGCUAACUACGUGCCAGCAGCCGCGGUAAUACGUAGGGGGCGAGCGUUGUCCGGAGUUACUGGGCGUAAAGAGCGUGUAGGCGGUUGGAAAAGUCAGGUGUGAAAUUCUUCGGCUCAACCGGGGGACUGCGCCUGAAACUUUCCGACUGGAGUUUGGGAGGGGCAACUGGAAUUCCUGGUGUAACGGUGAAAUGUGUAGAUAUCAGGAGGAACACCCGUGGCGAAGGCGGGUUGCUGGACCAAAACUGACGCUGAGACGCGAAAGCGUGGGUAGCAAACAGGAUUAGAUACCCUGGUAGUCCACGCUGUAAACGAUGAGUGCUAGGUGUAGGGGGUAUCGACUCCCUCUGUGCCGCAGUUAACGCAUUAAGCACUCCGCCUGGGGAGUACGGCCGCAAGGCUGAAACUCAAAGGAAUUGACGGGGGCCCGCACAAGCAGCGGAGCAUGUGGUUUAAUUCGAAGCAACGCGAAGAACCUUACCAGGUCUUGACAUCCAGUAAAAACUGUAGAGAUACAGUGUGCCUUCGGGCGUACUGAGACAGGUGGUGCAUGGUUGUCGUCAGCUCGUGUCGUGAGAUGUUGGGUUAAGUCCCGCAACGAGCGCAACCCUUAUUGUUAGUUGCCAUCAUUAAGUUGGGCACUCUAGCGAGACUGCCGGUGAUAAACCGGAGGAAGGUGGGGAUGACGUCAAAUCAUCAUGCCCCUUAUGUCCUGGGCUACACACGUGCUACAAUGGCCUGAACAGAGGGAAGCGAAACUGCGAAGUUAAGCGAACCCCUUAAAACAGGUCCCAGUUCGGAUUGUAGGCUGCAACUCGCCUACAUGAAGUUGGAAUCGCUAGUAAUCGCAGGUCAGCAUACUGCGGUGAAUACGUUCCCGGGCCUUGUACACACCGCCCGUCA